rnacentral:lncRNA from 1 species
CUGUAUCUAUUGUUAAUAAAACAGCUUCUUUCUUUUGGUGAAGGGGAGAGGUUAGAUAUGUGGCCUCUGGAUUCCUGAUGAUGGACAAAUAUUCACACAUGCUGUCUACUGCUGGCAAAAUAACCCAGUGAAACUGAACAUCCAAGUAAUGAAAAUGCUAAAGAAAAAUGCCAGGAACAGAUUGCCAAGAGACGGAGGCUGUCUUCUCUGAGAAUUUGUACCUGCAAGUCUGCAUCCAGUGAAAGAAUGAGAUUUUUCUAAGAGUAACAAAUAAGAUCAGACAUCAAAAAACAAAACAAAACUUAAAACACUUUGGAGAACCCAGUCCUACUUAUAUACGUUUGUGGGGAUGGCCUUUGUGAGGAGAGUGAGAGCUGCUCCAUGUGUCUAGCUGACUAUGGGAAAUGUCUACUUCCUGUAGAUGACUGGGUGAUGAUUACCCUUCUAAUCUGCUUGGUCUCUACUGCCUCUGCCUUGACCAUUCUGGUAUGCCAUCAUUUUGAUUGCCUCAUGAAGUGACCCAAGCUUGGAAGGAAGAGGGUUCUUCUGUUAGGCAUUCCAGUGUCUCUUGAGGAGCUAAUUACAGGGAAGCCUGAGAAUCGCUGUCUUUGCCCUUCAGAGUAUGCAGAGGUAAGGGGUGAGGAGAGAAAGGGGACUUGAUCAUCAUCUGAAGCCAUCACAUCAACUAAGCAUGAGUCCAUGUUAUGUCUUGGAAAGAGAUAUAUCAAUGAGUAAUCUAUUGCAUCACGUAACAACUUCUUGGCAUUUUUCGGGCUUUUCCCAGUCUACUUCCAAAUAGAGAUGAUACAGUGGGCAAUUGGAAUAUGUGUUGGGAAC